rnacentral:rRNA from 1 species
GGGGUGCUCGAGUGGCGAACGGGUGAGUAACACGUGAGUAACCUGCCCUUGACUUUGGGAUAACUUCAGGAAACUGGGGCUAAUACCGGAUAGGAGCUCCUGCUGCAUGGUGGGGGUUGGAAAGUUUCGGCGGUUGGGGAUGGACUCGCGGCUUAUCAGCUUGUUGGUGGGGUAGUGGCCUACCAAGGCUUUGACGGGUAGCCGGCCUGAGAGGGUGACCGGCCACAUUGGGACUGAGAUACGGCCCAG